rnacentral:lncRNA from 1 species
GCACACAUCACCUGUAAAUCACUCUGCUUCAAUAGGGAAACCACUGGCUUGUGGAGCACUGUAUCCGAAACCAAGUAAUUUUCUCACAUCAGAGGUGCACUGCAAAGUUCAAUGAGGACCUGUCUCCCACCCAAAACAUCUGGCACCCAUACCCAAGAUGAGAUAUGAAGAUGCCUCUCAUUUAACCCGCUUUGGCUCACAACAACCUGCACCCUGGUAACUACAUGUUGAUUGAAGCACCCUUAUGAAAAAAAGAUAUAAAUGUUUGU